UACAGAGGCCCCAAGCAUUAUCCGGAUUUACUGGGCGUAAAGGGUGCGUAGGCGGUUAUAUUAGUCAGGUGUUAAAUCUUUGGGCUCAACCCAAAAAUCGCAUUUGAAACGGUAUAACUAGAAGAAGUCAGAGGCAAGCAGAACUCACGGUGUAGGGGUGAAAUCCGUUGAUAUCGUGGGGAAUACCAAAUGCGAAGGCAGCUUGCUGGGACUCUCUUGACGCUGAGGCACGAAAGCGUGGGUAGCGAAGCGG
rnacentral:rRNA from 1 species